rnacentral:rRNA from 1 species
UACGUAGGGUGCAAGCGUUGUCCGGAAUUAUUGGGCGUAAAGAGCUCGUAGGCGGUUUGUCGCGUCGAAUGUGAAAACCCGGGGCUCAACCCCGGGCCUGCAUUCGAUACGGGCAGACUAGAGUUCGGUAGGGGAGUCUGGAAUUCCUGGUGUAGCGGUGAAAUGCGCAGAUAUCAGGAGGAACACCGGUGGCGAAGGCGGGACUCUGGGCCGAUACUGACGUUGAGGAGCGAAAGCGUGGGGAGCGAACAGG